GACGAACGCUGGCGGCGCGCUUAAUGCAUGCAAGUCGAACGAAGAAAUCCCGAUUCGUCGGGAUGGAUUAGUGGCGAACGGCUGAGUAACGCGUAAGCAACUUACCCCUAGGUGGGGAAUAACCCCGCGAAAGCGGGGCUAAUACCGCAUAUGUUGUUGUGCCACAAGGCACGCCAACAAAGGCUUCUCUUUCGGGAGGGGUCGCCUGGGGAUGGGCUUGCGUCCUAUCAGGUAGUUGGUGGGGUAACGGCCUACCCAGCCGAAGACGGGUAGCUGGUCUGAGAGGACGAUCAGCCAGAGGGGGACUGCGACACGGCCCCCACUCCUACGGGAGGCAGCAGCAGGGAAUCUUGCGCAAUGGGCGAAAGCCUGACGCAGCGACGCCGCGUGGGGGAAGAAGGCCUUCGGGUUGUAAACUCCUUUUCUGGGGGAAGAGAGAGGACGGUACCCCAGGAAUAAGCCUCGGCUAACUACGUGCCAGCAGCCGCGGUAAUACGUAGGAGGCGAGCGUUGUCCGGAUUUACUGGGCGUAAAGGGCGUGUAGGCGGUACGGAAAGUCUCUGUUGAAAUCUCCCGGCUCAACUGGGAGGGAUGCAGGGAUACUUUCGAACUAGAGGACAGUAGAGGAGAGUGGAAUUCCCGGUGUAGUGGUGAAAUGCGUAGAUAUCGGGAGGAACACCAGUGGCGAAAGCGGCUCUCUGGGCUGUACCUGACGCUGAGGCGCGAAAGCGUGGGGAGCAAACCGGAUUAGAUACCCGGGUAGUCCACGCCAUAAACGAUGGAUGCUGGGUAUGGGGGGUAUCGACCCCUUCCGUGCCGAAGCUAACGCGUUAAGCAUCCCGCCUGGGAACUACGGCCGCAAGGCUAAAACUCAAAGGAAUUGACGG
rnacentral:rRNA from 1 species